UACGUAGGUGGCGAGCGUUGUCCGGAAUUACUGGGCGUAAAGGGCGCGCAGGCUGCGUUACAAGUCAGCUGUUAAAUGCAUGGGCUUACCCCAUGAGUGCGGUUGAAACUGUAGUGCUAGAGUACUGUAGAGGCAAGCGGAAUUCCCAGUGUAGCGGUGAAAUGCGUAGAUAUUGGGAGGAACACCGGUGGCGUAGGCGGCUUGCUGGACAGUAACUGACGCUGAGGCGCGAAAGCCAGGGGAGCAAACGGGAUUAGAUACCCGGGUA
rnacentral:rRNA from 1 species